UUACGGCCACAUCACGUUGAAACACCGGUUUCCGUACGGUCACUGAAGUUAAACCUGGUUAGUACAUAGAUGGGUGACCACUUGGGAAUACCAGGUGUUGUAAG